rnacentral:rRNA from 1 species
GACGAACCGUGCGAACGUUAUUCGGAAUCACUGGGCUUAAAGCGCGUGUAGGCGGGAGGGCACGUCCGUUGCUGAAAUCCCCCGGCUCAACCGGGGAACGGGCGCGGAUACGACUCUCCUUGAGGGGCGUAGGGGGACCUGGAACUUCCGGUGGAGCGGUGAAAUGCGUUGAGAUCGGAAGGAACGCCCGUGGCGAAAGCGAGGUCCUGGACGCCUACUGACGCUGAGACGCGAAAGCCAGGGGAGCGAACGGG